UCGAGAUGUGUAGGUGCUGCAUGGUUGUCGUCAGCUCGUGCCGUGAGGUGUCGGCUUAAGUGCCAUAACGAGCGCAACCUCAUCAUUAGUUACCAUCAGGUAAGGCUGGGGACGUCUAAUGAGACUGCCAUCGUAAGAUGUGAGGAAGGUGGGGAGUGACGUCAAAUCAGCACGGCCCUUACUCCGGGGCGACACACGUGUUACAAUGGGUGGUACAAAGGGCAGCUACCUGGCGACAGGAUGCUAAUCUCGAAAACCGCUCUCAGUUCGGAUCGGAGUCUGCAACUCGACUCCGUGAAGCUGGAUUCGCUAGUAAUCGCGCAUCAGCCACGGCGCGGUGAAUACGUUCCCGGGCCUU
rnacentral:rRNA from 1 species